rnacentral:lncRNA from 1 species
AUCACUCAGGGAAGUCUUAGAGAUCUAAUCUUUAUGUCCUUUCUUCUCGCCCAAUGUCUCUGUGGUUCAGCUCACCGCGAACCAGAAUUUUGGUUCAACGAUUGUGGUAUCUCCAUUCAUGCAUCGCUUCUAUGUUCGUCAUCAUCGUCGUGGAACUAUUGUGGUAUCUCCAACGAUUGUGGUAUCUCCAUUGUUGUUGCUGUUGUUGUUGUUGUUGUUGUCGAUAUUGUUGUUGUUGUUGUUGUUGUUGUUGUUUUUUACUGGAUAUUGGC